rnacentral:rRNA from 1 species
AUGGCUCAGGAUGAACGCUAGCGGCAGGCUUAACACAUGCAAGUCGAGGGGCAGCGAAUCUAGCUUGCUAGAUGUCGGCGACCGGCGAACGGGUGCGUAACGCGUAUAGAAUCUGCCUUGUACAGGAGGAUAGCCUUUAGAAAUGAAGAUUAAUACUCCAUAAUGUUUAGAGGUGGCAUCAUUUUUAAAUUAAAGAUUUAUUGGUACAAGAUGACUAUGCGUCCUAUUAGCUAGAUGGUAAGGUAACGGCUUACCAUGGCAACGAUAGGUAGGGGGUCUGAGAGGAUUAUCCCCCACACUGGUACUGAGACACGGACCAGACUCCUACGGGAGGCAGCAGUGAGGAAUAUUGGUCAAUGGAGGCAACUCUGAACCAGCCAUGCCGCGUGCAGGAAGACUGCCCUAUGGGUUGUAAACUGCUUUUAUACAGGAAGAAACAGAACUACGUGUAGUUCCG